UCCUGGUUAGCUUAGUUGGCAGAGCAGUCUACUGGAAAAAGUGAGGACCCUGGUUCGAUACCAAGACCAGGUG
rnacentral:tRNA from 2 species